GACGUAGGGUGCAAGCGUUAUCCGGAUUUACUGGGCGUAAAGAGCGCGUAGGCGGUCUGUUAAGUGAGAGGUGAAAUCUUCAGGGCUCAACCCGAAAAUUGCUUUUCAUACUGGCAGACUUGGGGGAUGGAGAGGUAUGUGGAAUUCCUGGUGUAGCGGUGAAAUGCGUUGAUAUCAGGAGGAACACCCAUGGCGAAGGCAGCAUACUGGUCAUCAUCUGACGCUGAGGCGCGAAAGCGUGGGUAGCAAACAGG
rnacentral:rRNA from 1 species